UACGUAGGGGGGCAAGCGUUGUCCGGAAUCAUUGGGCGUAAAGCGCGUGUAGGCGGUCCGGUAAGUCCGCUGUGAAAGUCGAGGGCUCAACCCUCGAAUGCCGGUGGAUACUGUCGGGCUAGAGUGCGGAAGAGGCGAGUGGAAUUCCUGGUGUAGCGGUGAAAUGCGCAGAUAUCAGGAGGAACACCUAUUGCGAAGGCAGCUCGCUGGGACGUUACUGACGCUGAGACGCGAAAAGCGUGGGGAGCGAACAGG
rnacentral:rRNA from 1 species